rnacentral:tRNA from 5 species
GGGUCUGUAGUUUAGUGGUAGAACAUCGGUCUCCAAAACCGAUGGCGGGAGUUCGAUUCUCUCCAGACCUGCCA